CCCACCAUCUCAUCUCUUUGUGACUUCCUUCUUUAAGCCAACAGGUCAGCUGCUACUCCUGCAGCCGCUUGAUUUGCUGAUCAUUCACAUGGCCUUUGUACUUCAGAGCAGGAGAAUUGGGUGCAGGUGAACUACUUUGCUUACACUAGCCGUUUUUCCCUCUUUCUCUGAUAUCCAAUUAACCCGUUUCUGUAUCGAUUUCGUCUCAUGUUGCCGAAUUGUUGGAGCCUCACGUGAUAGUUGUACUUCAAAGGAGUGAAAUGGGGAAUUUUUUUUUAGAGUAAUCUAAGUGGUUCAACAUUGUCACUCAACUUGCUGUCCAGAUUCUUCUUCUUCUCUGCAUUGAAUUCACUAGUAAGUUUCAAAACUUAUGUUAACUUAAAGGUCUUUUCCAAUUUUUUCCUAUUUUUUGAAAACUGAGUGUAGCGUAACAUGAUUGUUUUUUGCUUCUUUUUUGGUGGCUUGAUAAUAUCAAACUCUUAAGAAAAAGUUCCGAGCUCAUUCAGGACCGCCAGCUCCCCAGGGCACUCCUUUUUUAUAUCUGAGAAGCACCCUCCGAUGUAGCAUUUUGGUGCUGUAGGAUAUGGGGUCACUGAAACAGGGAGGUUGUAGCCAUCCACUAUACUUACGUCGUAGAAACUCGGCUGCCUCUUGUCAACCUGCAACGUAAACUCUACUAGCGUCACAGGAGGAACGCCGAUCACCCCGGCGCAUUCGAGUCGCCCGUUGCAGUCGCCUGUUUCACAGGCUCGUCCGUCGUUGGAGUAGUCGAAAUUGCAGCCUGUUCUGGCCCAGAUGCGGCCACUCGAAUCUCCUGGUGCCUGGAAUUUCCGGAGUCUCCCGGAUGGAAGAUAGAAGCCACCGUUUGCUACGACUGGAAAGCCUUGGUUCGGGGCAGUGGCAGGCCAUAUGGGAAAUGGGCACUUGUUGCUCACGUAAAAUGUGCAUGCUUCCACAACUCCACUACUGCCUAUGGGUUACGUUAAACUAUAAACGAUGCAAAAGAAGAAUGCUUUUUCAUUUAUUUGGGUUACUUCUUGACAGCAAUCAAUUAAUCUCAAUGGUCAUUGGCUGUGAUCAAUUAACCACUUGUUCUUUUGUGCACCUUAA